AUCAACUUUCGAUGGUAGGAUAGAGGCCUACCAUGGUGGUAACGGGUAACGGGGUGUUAGGGCACGACACCGGAGAGGGAGCCUGAGAAACGGCUACCACAUCCAAGGAUGGCAGCAGGCGCGCAAAUUACCCAAUCCCGACACGGGGAGGUAGUGACAAUAAAUAACAAUACGGGGUUCUAUAGGAUUUCGUAAUUGGAAUGAGUACAAUUUAAAUCUCUUAACGAUCAACAAUUGGAGGGCAAGUCUGGUGCCAGCAGCCGCGGUAAUUCCAGCUCCAAUAGCGUAUAUUAAAGUUGUUGCAGUUAAAAAGCUCGUAGUUGAAUUUCGGGGUUAGUAGGUUGGUCAUGCCUCUGGUAUGUACUGAUCUCACUGAUUCCUCCCUCUUGACGAACUGUAAUGUCAUUAAUUUGGUGUUGCAGGAAAUCAGGACUGUUACUUUGAAAAAAUUAGAGUGUUUAAAGCAGGCUUAGGCUUGAAUACAUUAGCAUGGAAUAAUGAAAUAGGACGUUUGAACCUAUUUUGUUGGUUUCUAGGAUCGACGUAAUGAUUAAUAGGGAUAGUUGGGGGCAUUAGUAUUCAAUUGUCAGAGGUGAAAUUCUUGGAUUUAUUGAAGACUAACUACUGCGAAAGCAUUUGCCAAGGAUGUUUUCASUAAUCAAGAACGAAAGUUAGGGGAUCGAAGACGAUCAGAUACCGUCGUAGUCUUAACCAUAAACUAUGCCGACUAGGGAUCGGAUGAUGUUAAUUUUUUAAUGACUCAUUCGGCGCCUUACGGGAAACCAAAGUGUUUGGGUUC
rnacentral:rRNA from 1 species